UGACCUGCGAUCGACAGAAGGUCGCUAUGUCUCCUCUGAAACAAUACCGGACGUGAACUUGGGAAGUGAUGAUCCUUCCUCUCAAGGACACACAGAACAAAGUAGUGUAAACAGGCCGGCAGAGAGCAUGUUGAGUCUGGUUCAAGAGUCAGCCAGUGAGCCGGCUGAUUCGAAUAUAAUGGUUGUGAGGGAAGAGACACCGUCGGAAGGGCUUGCAAUAGUUCCGAUUCAAGUUUUUGUGCCAGUGUCCCAAACAACCACUGUGCCGGAAUUUGAAGAAACACCUGAGACAGAUUUUGAACCAAC